rnacentral:rRNA from 1 species
UACGGAGGGUGCAAGCGUUAUCCGGAUUUACUGGGUUUAAAGGGUGUGUAGGCGGACAAUUAAGUCCGUGGUGAAAUCUCCGGGCUCAACCCGGAAACUGCCAUGGAUACUAUUUGUCUUGAAUGUUGUUGAGGUGGGCGGAACGGGUCAUGUAGCGGUGAAAUGCAUAGAUAUGACCCGGAACACCGAUUGCGUAGGCAGCCCACUAAGCAACGAUUGACGCUGAGGCACGAAAGCGUGGGGAUCAAACAGG